rnacentral:rRNA from 1 species
GUGGGGAAUAUUGCACAAUGGGCGCAAGCCUGAUGCAGCAACGCCGCGUGAGGGACGACGGCCUUCGGGUUGUAAACCUCUUUUAGUAGGGAAGAAGCGAAAGUGACGGUACCUGCAGAAAAAGCACCGGCUAACUACGUGCCAGCAGCCGCGGUAAUACGUAGGGUGCAAGCGUUAUCCGGAAUUAUUGGGCGUAAAGAGCUCGUAGGCGGUUUGUCACGUCUGCUGUGAAAACUGGAGGCUCAACCUCCAGCCUGCAGUGGGUACGGGCAGACUAGAGUGCGGUAGGGGAGAUUGGAAUUCCGGGUGUAGCGGUGGAAUGCGCAGAUAUCAGGAGGAACACCGAUGGCGAAGGCAGAUCUCUGGGCCGUAACUGACGCUGAGGAGCGAAAGCGUGGGGAGCGAACAGGAUUAGAUACCCUUGUAGUCC